AGGCAAGUGAGUUUGCUCAAAUUGCCUCUGUUCACACAGCAGAAAAUGGGUACCCGUUUGCAUAAAGUCAUGUGACUAUAACCUUCUAGCGCCUAACAGGCAGCUUGGGUUAUCCGGGGUAAUAAGAAUCCGAUUCUGAUUAAGCGCAGCGAGCAAUCACUUCGUGUUUGGAUGCUGUGCGCUAUAGAAGAUGACUUAUUAAUAAUUGUUAUCGUCAACUGUCCAGAUA